CCUCUCAGUGGUGACUCACCUGCCCACACCCUCUUAGGCUGAUGCCCCUGACUCGCUCCUGGCUUUCGUCCGCAUUUCCGCGCCCCAGCUGUCUGCCGGGACUGACAGUUUACUUCAUCAUCGUCCACUCAAGCUUCCUUCGGACUCCAUGUUGAAAUUCUUUUAUCCACGAGACUAAGAACCAGCAAGAGGGAGCCCACCUCCCCGGUAACGUGUGUCUUACUCCAUUCUUUGGCUGAGAUACAAAGGGACAUCACAUCAUGGGACACCCUGAGGCCCUCUCUGGUAAUACUCCUGUGGUCGUCUGAGGGGACCUCAGCUCUGGGGCUCGGAGAAUGGUAAAGGGACCUCCAGAAUAAACUAAUUGCCUUCAGAGCAAAGAAAAAGAACAGAUAGACAAAAAUGAGAAACACAGAGAAGAAGCAAAAAAACACCAAGUUCUCCCCAAACUGCAUAUCAUUCCGGGAUGGGAGAGCAGACAUAACAGAUGCUGGAAACAUGGCUUCGGUGACAAGAGCCACUUGACCGAAUGUCAGC